ACAGUGCAAUCAGGGAUGGUGAUAUCGCAGGGUUGAAGACAAGAAAGACAGAUGUGUGCCUGCACCCAGUUGCUAGAGCGUGGAGGCAAUGAUGAUGGAACAGAAGGCAAGAGGCUGUCAUUGUUCACAUCACAAGGACCAGAGACACCUUUCCUGGGAAGAGAGCUGACAAACCUUCUGUGGUAAGGGGUGAACAUCCUUGGGAAGCCACAGAGAGCAAGGCGCAGUUUUUCAUUGAUCACCACCUUCAAGAUGCUCCCAGAAUCGUGCUGUCUAGGAAGCCAUUUAAACUGGUGAGAAGCCAUCCUCUCUUGAAUGGAGGCUCCCACUGUACAUCUGGCACCCACUUCACAGAUCCAUGAACUAGAAGAUGCUUUCUUAUAACUCAGAGAAAAGAGAUGAAAAUGAAUCAAAGAACAGGAAGGAGACAAGCUCAGGAGUGUGAAAACGGAUUAAUACGGAUUCCAUUAGCAGAAGCAGUUUUGGUGGGAAAAAGAUGAAGGGUGAAGAGGACUUUUACCUUAAAACAAUGAAGAGUCACCCUAAGAAGGACGUGUGGAAGACUUGACUGAUUGGAGGAUCAAAAUGUGUCGGGGGAAGGUGUACAAGGAGGAGUAAGGACACAGAUGUCCUGACUUCACACAGUGGGGGAUUAGAAGCCACCAUCAAACACAGAUGAAACAGGAAUAAAAGUAGUAGUACAUUACUUAAGCUUUAAAAGGGUAAGACUCCUGGGAAUUUGGAAGCUGAGAUUUGAGG